CCUGCGUUGGUGGGCGCGCCGCGGGCUCUAAAAGCUCGACUGUCGGCCGGGCGCUGUGGCGCACGCCUGUAAUCCCAGCACUUUGGGAGGGCAAGGUGAUGUUGGACGUGACAGAGGAGGUGACAGGUCACCCUGAGUGCGGGACUCCGUGUCCAGAAGGAAGUGGGCCUCCAGGUGCCACGCCUUUGCUUCUGCUGUGGCAUCUGAUGAGUUCCCUGUUCAUCUCUCCAGGCAUUCCCAGGGCAGUCAGCCCUGAUGCCCAGGGGCUAGGCUUGCAAGACCGCGCAUUAGGUUCGCAGAGCUAGAGUGCAAGGCCAGACCUGGUACCAACAGCAUCUCCGCCUUCGUCCUCAUCUGGUUCCCGCCUCAAACCUGUACCUGUGCGGAGGAGCCUGGAAGAUUAUUGAUCUGACCAGAACAGUCCAGGUUCCAUGAUGCAUGCAGUGGUGUCUGUGAUCUGACUGAGAGACAUCUGGCUCUAUUUCAGAAGAACUAAAACUAUAGUUCCAGCUACUUCAGAGGCUAAGGUGGGAAGAUGGCUUGAAUCCAGGAGGUCGAG
rnacentral:lncRNA from 1 species